UACAGAGGUCCCAAGCGUUGUUCGGAAUUACUGGGCGUAAAGCGUAUGUAGGUGGCUUGGCAAGUCAGGUGUGAAAGCCUCGGGCUCAACCCGAGAAGUGCACUUGAUACUGCUGAGCUUGAGUAUGGGAGAGGGUAGUAGAAUUCCUGGUGUAGUGGUGAAAUACGUAGAUAUCAGGAGGAAUACCGGUGGCGAAGGCGGCUACCUGGCCCAAUACUGACACUGAGAUACGAAAGCGUGGGGAUCAAACAGG
rnacentral:rRNA from 1 species